rnacentral:rRNA from 1 species
UACAGAGGUCCCAAGCGUUGUUCGGAUUCACUGGGCGUAAAGCGUGCGCAGGCGGUUUUGUAAGCCAGAUGUGAAAUCCCCGGGCUUAACCUGGGAAUGGCAUUUGGGACUGCAAGGCUGGAGUUUGGCAGAGGAGACUGGAAUUCCUGGUGUAGCAGUGAAAUGCGUAGAUAUCAGGAGGAAUACCGAUGGCGAAGGCAGGUCUCUGGGCUAUAACUGACGCUCAUGCACGAAAGCGUGGGGAGCAAACAGG